UUUCAGUGUCUGACACUUGGAGAAGCUAAACAUGUCUCAGUCAGGUGAAAAAGUAAAGUUUUCCGACUCAGCAGGCUAUGUGGGAUUUGCUAAUCUGCCCAACCAGGUCCACCGGAAAUCUGUGAAGAAGGGCUUUGAAUUCACACUGAUGGUGGUUGGUGAGUCUGGCUUGGGAAAAUCUACUCUAAUUAACAGUCUGUUUCUGACUGAUCUUUAUCCAGAACGUUACAUUCCUGGAGCUGCAGAGAAAAUAGAGAGAACGGUUCAAAUUGAGGCUUCCACAGUAGAGAUAGAGGAGCGGGGGGUGAAGCUGCGUUUAACGGUGGUGGACACACCGGGAUAUGGAGAUGCCAUUAACAGCCAGGACUGCUUCAAAACGAUUAUCCAGUACAUUGACAACCAGUUUGAGAGAUACCUUCAUGAUGAGAGCGGGCUGAACAGGCGCCACAUUAUAGACAAUAGAGUCCAUUGCUGCUUUUACUUCAUCUCUCCCUUUGGGCAUGGGUUGAAACCAUUAGAUGUAGAAUUCAUGAAGGCUCUUCAUGGAAAAGUCAACAUUGUCCCUGUGAUUGCCAAGGCUGACACGCUGACACUGAAGGAGAGAGAGAGGCUGAAGAGAAGAGUUCUAGAUGAGAUUUCUGAACAUGGCAUUAGGAUUUACCAGCUUCCUGAUGCAGAUUCUGAUGAAGAUGAGGAAUUUAAAGAACAAACUAGAGUCUUAAAGGCUAGCAUUCCCUUUGCUGUUAUUGGAUCCAAUCAACUUAUUGAGGUGAAAGGGAAGAAAAUCCGAGGCCGUCUGUACCCUUGGGGGGUUGUUGAAGUCGAGAACCCGGAGCACAAUGAUUUCCUUAAACUGCGCACAAUGCUGGUAACUCACAUGCAGGACCUGCAGGAGGUGACCCAAGAUUUGCACUAUGAGAACUUCCGUUCAGAGAGGCUGAAGAGAACUGGCAAGCCUGUUGAAGAAGAAGUUGUAGACAAGGAUAGAAUCCUUCAGCAGAAGGAGGCUGAGCUGCGCCGCAUGCAGGAGAUGAUCGCACAGAUGCAAGCCCAGAUGAGGAUGAAGCCUGGAGAUGACUAAGAUACUUAAUAGCUGGAUGCAUCAGCUUACAGAUCAUGCUUAAUCACAUGGUAUCCCUUGAACUGAUACUUGCAGCGUUCAGUUCUCUAAGUGGACGGGUGCUCUGUUUUCUUUGGCCGAGUGGUAACGUCCACAUGCAAAAGCCGGAUUCUGCAGAUCAAGACCUGCAUUAAAACAAACACAGAGUCUGAAGAUUGUGUUGUAAAACUGCUUGUUUUAUAUAUUCAAAGUUAAUCAAGUUAUCCUGUAUCUUUUUUGAUUUUUUUUUUGUUAACACUGUCUUCAUACUUAUAAUUGUGUUUAUAUUCUCCUUCCUAUGCCUUUUGGUACAGAAAUGGAUAAGCAUGCUGUUUGGACUAGGCCUUGCGCUGGGGCAAGGAGUUAAUUGUGUAUCUAGAUUGUUCUGAACCGUUUUGUGAUUAGUGCUAAAAGCCUCUGUGGCCGGUUGGCAGUAAAUGUGCUCGCACAGUAUCGUAACUUUCUAUUGCUAUUUUAAGCCAUUCUGUAUCGUGUCAGUUUUUCAUAACUUUCUGUGCUUCGGUUCUUUUUCAAGCUUCAUCUCUGGUGAUUUGUAUUUGUGUGAUGUGUGAGAAAAUACACAAACCACUGACGAUUCACCGGUGAUGUAAAGAAGCUGACUUUUCUAAAUCAUUGUGCCUUAAAAUACCAUGAACACUAUGCAUGCCAGAAACUUCCGUGGAUGCCUCUGAGAGUUGUCUUCAGGUCUCAGUAUUGCUUGCAGGUGUUCCUAUCGCAGCGUUCCCAGCUCCCAGCUGAGUGGAGGCAUGUACUGAACCUUUUAUAUACCGCAACACUAAUUUUCAUGGAGGUUUUGUAAUAAAUUGUAUCAGUGUGGAAAAAGAUGAA